rnacentral:snRNA from 12 species
GAUGAGCUGUGUGUGGUUGAGGGACUUGAAGAGCAUGCCGCAGGGCUGGCUGGCUCACCAAACCCUGCAUUGAUUCGCACAGGUGCAGCAUCCACAUCUGGACAACUACCUGACUCAGCAAGGCAGCAGCCAAUAGGCAAUGACCGAUUCAAGGUCGUGGUUGCGGAUGGAGCAGCUAGCUUGCGCAGCAGUGGUGAUGAUGAGGGCAAGU